rnacentral:rRNA from 1 species
UACGUAGGGUCCGAGCGUUGUCCGGAAUUACUGGGCGUAAAGAGCUCGUAGGCGGUCUGUCGCGUCGGAUGUGAAAAUCCAGGGCUCAACCCUGGACCUGCAUUCGAUACGGGCAGACUAGAGUUCGGUAGGGGAGACUGGAAUUCCUGGUGUAGCGGUGGAAUGCGCAGAUAUCAGGAGGAACACCGGUGGCGAAGGCGGGUCUCUGGGCAGUAACUGACGCUGAGGAGCGAAAGCGUGGGGAGCGAACAGG